ensembl:snRNA U4 U4 spliceosomal RNA
AGCUUUCUUUAGUGGCAGAAUCAUAGCCAGUGAGGUUCAUCUGAGGUGUGAUUUUUGCUAAUGAAAGCUUUUCCCAAUAUCUUGAGGUGACGACUUGGAACAGUCAGCACCGGCAACUUUUUUUUUUCUUGUCUAGUAGCACUGGCAACUUCUGACAGUCUGUACGGAGA